CACGUAGGGUGCGAGCGUUGUCCGGAAUUAUUGGGCGUAAAGAGCUCGUAGGCGGUGUGUCGCGUCGGCCGUGAAAACCUGCAGCUUAACUGUGGGCUUGCGGUCGAUACGGGCAUCACUGGAGUUCGGCAGGGGAGACUGGAAUUCCUGGUGUAGCGGUGAAAUGCGCAGAUAUCGAGAGGAACACCUGCGGCGAAGGCGGGUUGCUGGGCUGACACUGACGCUGAUGCGCGAAAGCCAGGGGAGCGAACGGG
rnacentral:rRNA from 1 species